AGCGAACGCUGGCGGCAGGCCUAACACAUGCAAGUCGAACGAACCCUUCGGGGUUAGUGGCGGACGGGUGAGUAACACGUGGGAACGUGCCUAUAGGUUCGGAAUAACUCAGGGAAACUUGUGCUAAUACCGAAUGUGCCCUUCGGGGGACAGAUUUAUAGCCUUUAGAGCGGCCCGCGUCGGAUUAGCUAGUUGGUGAGGUAAUGGCUCACCAAGGCUACGAUCCGUAGCUGGUCUGAGAGGAUGACCAGCCACAUUGGGACUGAGACACGGCCCAAACUCCUACGGGAGGCAGCAGUGGGGAAUCUUGCGCAAUGGGCGAAAGCCUGACGCAGCCAUGCCGCGUGGAUGAUGAAGGUCUUAGGAUUGUAAAAUCCUUUCACCGGUGAAGAUAAUGACUGUAGCCGGAGAAGAAGCCCCGGCUAACUUCGUGCCAGCCGCCGCAGUAAAAC
rnacentral:rRNA from 1 species